rnacentral:snRNA from 1 species
GUGCUCACUUCAGCAGCACAUAUACUAAAAUUGGAACGAUACAGAGAAACAGAGAAGAUUAGCAUGGCCCCUGUAAGGAUGACAUGCAAAUUGGUGAAGGGUUCCAUAUUAAA